rnacentral:rRNA from 1 species
GAUCCUGCUCAGGAUGAACGCUGGCGGCGUGCCUAAUACAUGCAAGUCGAACGCUUCACUUCGGUGAAGAGUGGCGAACGGGUGAGUAAUACAUAAGUAACCUGGCAUCUACAGGGGGAUAACUGAUGGAAACGUCAGCUAAGACCGCAUAGGUGUAGAGAUCGCAUGAACUCUAUAUGAAAAGUGCUACGGGACUGGUAGAUGAUGGACUUAUGGCGCAUUAG